rnacentral:rRNA from 1 species
GAUGAACGCUAGCUACACCUCUUAACACAUGCAAGUCGAGGGGCAGCAUGAUCGAAGCUUGCUUUGAUUGAUGGCGACCGGCGCACGGGUGAGUAUCGCGCAUCCAACCUUCCCUAUAGUAGAGAAUAGCCCGGCGAAAGUCGGAUUAAUGCUCUAUGUUGUAUUUAGAAGACAUCUGAAGAAUACCAAAGGUUUACCGCUAUAGGAUGGGGAUGCGUCUGAUUAGGUAGUAGGCGGGGUAGCGGCCCACCUAGCCGACGAUCAGUAGGGGUUCUGAGAGGAAGGUCCCCCACAUUGGAACUGAGACACGGUCCAAACUCCUACGGGAGGCAGCAGUGAGGUAUAUUGGUCAAUGGGCGGAAGCCUGAACCAGCCAAGUAGCGUGCAGGAUGACGGCCCUAUGGGUUGUAAACUGCUUUUGUAUGGGAAUAAAGUCGGGGACGUGUCCCCGUUUGUAUGUACCGUAAGAAUAAGGACCGGCUAAUUCU